rnacentral:rRNA from 1 species
UACUACGGCCAUGCCACCCUGAACAUGCCUAAUUUCAUCUGAUCUCGGAGGCUAAGCAGGGUCAGACCUGGUUAGUACUUGGAUGGGAGACUACCUAGAAAGACCAGGUGCUAUAGGCA